rnacentral:lncRNA from 1 species
CUCCAAAUGCUCCCCCAUAGCUGCCUAUAUGGGGGCCACCACCUGCCCGUCUCACCCAGAUGUCCCCGUGUCCCACGGGGUCACUGGGAUGCUCAUUCCCCUGGUCCAUUUUGUCCCCCUUGUCCCCAGUCCUCUUUGUCCACUGAGGUCAUGGGGAUACUCAUUCCCCUUGUCCCUUUUGUCCUUCGUGUCCUCUGGUCCCUUGUCCCACGGGGUCAUUGGGAUACUUUUCCCCCGAUCCCAUUUGUCUUCCUUGUCCCCAUGUCCCCUGGCCUCCUGUCCCAUAAGGUCACGGGGAUUCUCAUUCCCCCGGUCUCAUUUGUCCCCAUGUCCGCUGGUCCCUUGUCCCAUGGUGUGGUUGGGAUGCUCGUUCCCCACGAUGUCCCCUUCGUCCCUUUGUCCUUACAUCCCCCGCUCCCUCACUGCGUUUUUCACCCUAUGGAAAACGACUGAUAGCUCCACGUAUUUACAUAUUUAAGAUGUUCCUGCUCUCUCUCACUGUGCAACGCGCCGCUCCCCGGGGCUCCGAGCUGUCCCAGUACCUUUUGGGGACGGUUUCUGUGUUUCCGACGUGAUGUGGUUGGAUGGAGCCGUGGUCAUUCUGCUCUCAUAGCCCUGCCCCCCCGGCCCUGCGCACACACCCCGUCUGUACAGGUCUUAACAAAGCCCUUCUGCAUACAGAUGACAAUGCCUUAUCCCCGACCCCCUCCUCCUCCUGUCACAUCCGAGGGGCCGAGUUCAGCCGGAGCAAUAUUUGUACGAUUUAAUUUCUGCUCGAGAGGCCGGUCGGACUCGUGGCAUUCUGCAGUUUUGGC